AUUGAACGCUGGCGGCAUGCCUUACACAUGCAAGUCGAACGGUAACAGGUCUUCGGAUGCUGACGAGUGGCGAACGGGUGAGUAAUACCUCGGAACGUGCCCGAGAGUGGGGGAUAACGAUGCGAAACCUUUGCUAAUACCGCAUACGAUCUCAGGAUGAAAGCAGGGGACCGCAAGGCCUUGCGCUCACGGAGCGGCCGAUGGCAGAUUAGGUAGUUGGUGGGAUAAAAGCUUACCAAGCCGACGAUCUGUAGCUGGUCUGAGAGGGCGACCAGCCACACUGGGACUGAGACACGGCCCAGACUCCUACGGGAGGCAGCGGUGGGGAAUUUUGGACAAUGGGCGCAAGCCUGAUCCAGCCAUGCCGCGUGCAGGAUGAAGGCCUUCGGGUUGUAAACUGCUUUUGUACGGAACGAAAAGACUCUGGUUAAUACCUGGGGUCCAUGACGGUACCGUAAGAAUAAGCACCGGCUAACUACGUGCCAGCCGCCGCCGUAACAC
rnacentral:rRNA from 1 species